GUUUGUUGCAUCCUAGCCUGUCCUUUUCGUCCGGUAUGUCGCUUACGUUGCUAUGGUGGAUUUAUUGACUGCUCUAAAUUCAGUUUAGCAACGGGGCGGGUGAAGACUGUGUGUCCUGACCUGUGAACUGUGUGCGGUUAAUUGACGUGGUUUGGAUCCUCCCUUUUCCAUUUAUGGAGUCUCCUCAUUUUUCCCUUUGCUUCCCUUUUGUUGUCCUGUACUGUUGAAUUCUACAGUGGGUCGUUUUGCCGUUAAAGUACUGCUAUUGAACACUCGGCGCGGUGAUUGCUGCCUCUGGAUCUUUCCCGCUAAGGUUACGUUAAAGCUACUGCUAUUGAACACUUGCCGCGGCGAUCGCUGCCUUUAGGUUUCUGCCGCUAAGCUAAGGCUAAGUUAAAGUUAUUGAUACUGAACCCCCGACGCUGUGGUCACUGUCUCUGGGUUAUGGAAGCUUUACAGUGGCUUCCUCUUUCACUGACCACCUGCCAUGCCUUAUUGGUCCUCAUAAUUGUGGUUGUUGUGAGUUUAAUUAUUGUUUGAUUAUUGCUAUUUGUUUUUGUUUUACUUUGUGUAACUUCCUUUUUGUUUCUUAUCUUUUUCUUAUUUAGUUUUCAAUUUAUUGAAUGGCUAGUGUUUUUUUCCUUUGUUUAUUACUUUCUUUCAGGAGCUGGGGUCCCACGGGUGAAAGGUCUCUAGUGGUGUUGGUGCUACAAGGUUUGCCGUGUUGUGUGACACUUGUGACGUGUGUGAUUGUGGGAUCUGAACUCACGGGUAGUGUGUGCUUUAGUACAAUCAGUACGGUCGAUCUUCCCUGUGGUGGAUACCCCAGCCCUGUGUAAAUGUGUAUUUAAUUUUCUUAUGUGAUUAUUGUGCUUAAUGUCUUUAUUUUUGGUUUACUGAUUUCUUUUCUUCCAUAUGCUAUGGUGUGCGUGGCCCAUUAAAUCGGGCUGCUGGUAGUGGCCUGUUUUGCCCAAGCUGAGCUAUUUUUAUUGUCUUUUAUACAAAUGUCAAUGUAAUAAAACUCAUUGUUU